rnacentral:rRNA from 1 species
CGUAACACGUGAGCAACCUUCCGAAAUAUGGGGGAUAGCCGGCCUAACGGCCGAGUAAUACCGCAUACGCUCUCGAUGAGGCAUUUCAUUGGAGAGGAAACCUCCGGGGUAUUUCGAGGGGCUCGCGGCCUAUCAGCUAGUUGGCGAGGUAACGGCUCACCAAGGCAACGACGGGUAGCUGGUCUGAGAGGAUGGCCAGCCACAUUGGGACUGAGAUACGGCCCAG